rnacentral:misc_RNA from 1 species
CUGACCUAUCCUCACCCUUUAAGCCGUUUUGGUGCCGUGUUCUGCGGCUUCCGCCCCCUGUUUCAUCUAUCUAGGUUAGCUAGUUCAGCUCUUGCACGCAAAAUUGCCUACCAUCAAGCAGGAGUCUAGUCCAACUUAAGACUAUCCUCUGCCCUUCUAGCCCUAUAUGGCCUCAUCGCCCGAUCACCGUAUCCGGUAAGUUUCGAUGCGCACCUACUUUCAUAUGUACGAGUUCUUUCUAGAUCAUUCUGUGGUAUUGAUUCAUCUGUGAAUGCCAUUAAGAGAGGCUGCAGUUAGAAAGCAAAGCAAUGGACCUCCAUUCAAGUUCUUGGUUCCUUUCGUCCAUGCUCCCAUUCUUCCUCUCAGUAAGCUUUUCUUUUGUGUAUUUUCUGAUUCCUUGGAUGGGUUUUCAGCCAUUCAGUGUUUUUAACAUUUUUGGGCGUUCAAUUUUAGUACGAAUCUCGCUGCGUAGAAAUCCUGUUUUCAGGAGCCGUCUUUUAACGGCUGUGUUGGUUGGUGCUUUCGCCCUUGGCUUUUACUUGGUGUAUACUUUUCGCAAUUUGCUUUUUGGUUAUAACGAAAUUCGAUUCUCUCAUGAUGCAAUAUGAUUCUGACUUUUUGUGUUGAUUAUAGACAAUGUUGUGAAUGGAUGAGCGAUCAUGCUAUAUCACUGUCGUGUGUUCCUUUAUUCAUUUGCUAUUUUUUGUUAUGUGACAAUUGUAGAUUCUUGUUCCAUUACUGUGAUGUAUUUUAUGAGCUGUGCUGCUUGAUAUUUGCUCCAUGAAAAUUCCCAUUUUUACAAAUGAUUAUAUACGUACUGACCCUGUAUGAAAAUAGAUAGUUGGAAACUAUGAUGCCUUUAUUUACAAUAACAUAGUAUCAUCAGAUCUUUUAGCUUGGUCCUGCGUUCUAGUGUGCUAUACAGCAGAGUUGUAAGUUGCUGAAACAAGUGCUGUCCACCUUUGGUUUUUAUGUCCGACUUGGUCAAUACCAUUAAUUCACCAUAUGCUGAAGCUGAUAUUAUGUGAUCAUUCUGUUAAAUUUUCCAUCAUAUGCAGAGAUGUAAUUGUGCAAAUACAAUAGACUGUUUUCAUCAUUAAGGAUCAAGAUUAUAUGAUAAACUACACAGAAAGUUGAGCCAUUUUCAAAGAGUAGGAGAAACUCAAAUUCCCAUGCGUGUUUCCUUUUUCAAUAUUUUGAUUGUGAGAAGCUUGAAGAGGCGAGGGAAAUUUAACUGGAGUGCAAAUGUUGAUGGAAUGAUGGCAGAAUUUCACUGUAGAAUUUAAUAUGGCCAUUACCUAGUUAUUUUGCCACUAAAUGGGUCUUUGGGAAAGAGAAUAUUGAAAUGAUCCUAUCCGUUGGCAUAUAUUAAGUAGCUGCUUUAAAGACUUAAACCUGCAUCCAUUUUGCUGCAAGUCUAAACUUUACCACUAUGGAAAAUGAUGGCUUCUUGCUAUAGCAAAUGAUAUAACAUCCAUUAUGUGACUCAUUAUGUGAAUUUAUGUGCUUUUAUUAUUUUUUUCACAUAACAAUUUAAUUGCAUCAACUAUGUAUCAAAAAUUUUCUAUGUACAUUUCUUUGGAUAAAGACUGUCAUGGAGUAGUCAGUAUAACUUCUGAGUUUUAAAAGUUUAUAAAAUCUCUGGGGAGUUUUACUUCACUGUCUGAGUGCUUUUAUAAAUAAGGUACCCUGCCCUGCAUGAAUGAAAUGCUUUGAAGUUGUAAAAUAUGGUCAUGUUGGACGCUAGUAAAUAAUUUACUUUUUCUUUCUAUUGUCUUCCAAGUAUUUUACUGUUUCUCCUUAACAAAUAUGUACAGAACAGAUCUAUAUGACAUUGAGAGCAAGUGAAUUUUCUUGUGGAUUGAGUAACCUGGUUUGUUGCUACACUUACAUAUUUUAUUGGUUCAUAAUCAAAUUUGAAAUGCCGUGAAUUAGCUUCCAGAAAUUUGAGUUUGUUUUCUUAUUAGUUUUGUUAUGGAAUGUUAACAUCAUCUCAUGCCCCAUUUUGGGAGCUAAGAGUUUUAUAAUUGCAUUGUACAAAUGUUGUAUUUUAGAGAAAUAAUUACCAGAUGAGGAAGCUUCUUUUGUCAAGUGUAAAAUACCAUGUUAGAGUAAAGAAGAGUCUUUAGUGGGCUUUUCUGAAGCUAUGUAAUAUGUUGUCAAACCCAACCAGCGGGGCGAGUUUGGUUGACCUCUAAAAUCCAGAAAUAUAAAGCCCACUGACCCAGUUGAAGAACAGGUGAGCCGGUCAACCUGGUAAUGAGUCACACAAUGGGACAAGUUUCGAGUUUCGGGCAAAUUAUAAAGUGCAUCUAGGGCACCAUCAGUCAUAAAAAAAAUUAAUUGUUUUUUGAAUAUAGGAGUAUAGAAUUCAUGACUCUGAACUUGAGGGCAUACAUGUACUCAAAAUAUUCUAUAAU